CAACCCGAUGCAAACUACGAAUACCGAAGAAUGUUAUCACGGGAGACACACGGCGGGUGCUAACGUCCGUCGUGAAGAGGGAAACAACCCAGACCGCCAGCUAAGGUCCCAAAGUCAUGGUUAAGUGGGAAACGAUGUGGGAAGGCACAGACAGCCAGGAUGUUGGCUUAGAAGCAGCCAUCAUUUAAAGAAAGCGUAAUAGCUCACUGGUCGAGUCGGCCUGCGCGGAAGAUGUAACGGGGCUAAACCAUGCACCGAAGCUGCGGCAGCGACACUAUGUGUUGUUGGGUAGGGGAGCGUUCUGUAAGCCUGCGAAGGUGACCUGUGAGGGUUGCUGGAGGUAUCAGAAGUGCGAAUGCUGACAUAAGUAACGAUAAAGCGGGUGAAAAGCCCGCUCGCCGGAAGACCAAGGGUUCCUGUCCAACGUUAAUCGGGGCAGGGUGAGUCGACCCCUAAGGCGAGGCCGAAAGGCGUAGUCGAUGGGAAACAGGUUAAUAUUCCUGUACUUGGUGUUACUGCGAAGGGGGGACGGAGAAGGCUAUGUUAGCCGGGCGACGGUUGUCCC
rnacentral:rRNA from 1 species